UACGUAGGGGGCUAGCGUUGUCCGGAAUCAUUGGGCGUAAAGAGCUUGUAGGCGGUUUGUCGCGUCUGCUGUGAAAAUCCGGGGCUCAACCCCGGACUUGCAGUGGGUACGGGCAGACUGGAGUGUGGUAGGGGAGACUGGAAUUCCUGGUGUAGCGGUGGAAUGCGCAGAUAUCAGGAGGAACACCGAUGGCGAAGGCAGGUCUCUGGGCCACUACUGACGCUGAGAAGCGAAAGCAUGGGGAGCGAACAGG
rnacentral:rRNA from 1 species